rnacentral:lncRNA from 1 species
CCCUUUCCAAGCUGUCCCUCCAGCUCCCCAUCGGCAUCCUGGCACCACAUCCCUAUGGCAUCACCAGGACCUCAUGGCAUAUGGGGUCCCCAGGCAUCGUGGGGUUCCCAUGGCAUUGUGGGGACCCAAUGGCAUCACCGGGUCCCUGUGACAUCAUGGGGUCCCUGUGGGGUCCCUGCAGCAUCGGAUACUCUUGGACCUGUGGCUGUUUGUCUGCUGCUGAUGUGCAAAGGGACCAGCCUGGCUGUCCUUGGGGAUGGGCUUGUGGCCACCACGUUCUCACAGUGGCAAAUACAGGGAUGGGGACAGGGGUGGGACAGAGCAGGAGCACAAAGACAGCUUGGACAGAGACAGCCACAAAUCAGGGCCUUGGCCGGAGCUGCUGCCCCAUCCGCUGCUGGACAGGAUGAGCUGGAGCGAUGCCGGGAGACACAAGAGCCUCUGGGCACCCAUCCCUCUGGGAGGCACCGCCAGCGUGGAGGGGUCUCUGCUUCUCACCAUGGAGCUGGAGCAUCCCAGGGCAGCACACGGGGCGUUUAUCCCCAUCUCUCCCCUUUUCUCCUUGCUCAGCCCUGGCUCCAGCACAAGCUCAGCUUUGUCCCGCUCCCUGAGGGCGCUGCCAGCCCUCUCCUGCCCCCAGGGCUCCAGGGGGACCCUGCACCCCCCAUUUCAGCCACCCAUCACUCGCUGAGCCCAUGCUCUUCCUCAGUGUUAAUUAAACCCUUGCUCCUCCUCCUGGCCAGCCUCCUCCAUCACGCUCUCUGCACUAAUUGCUCCCUGUUAUUCUGUUUUCCAUCGAGGCUUCUGCUCCCCGUUGGCUCCUGGCACAGCCCGUGCCUCCCACGCUGGCUCCCUGGCACGGCACUGCAUGGCACUGCAUGGCACGGCACACACCACUGCCCGGCACCCCUGCCAGCCCUCUCACCUCGGCACCUCCACCAGCCAUUUCCCACCUCCCCGGGCAUCCCCCGGCCCUUCCCCAGCUCCUGCUUCCUGCUCAAACAGCCCUUUCCUUGGCUUUGCCAUCCCACGAGGUCCCGGCACUGAGCUCACACACCACGUGGAGGAAAAGCCCAGCUAAAGCUUCACAACACCCAUGUACCGGGAGCUUCCUACCGCGGCAGGGGCUGCUUUGCCAGGACACACCAACACAGCCUCACCCACAUUCUUGCCCUGGCACGGCACCACUCCAGCAUGUUCAUGGAUGCGUCCAGUGCGGGGAUACAGCCCAAAACCCAGCUGGAGCUGGUGUGUCCCCUCCCCGGCUGGGGCGCUGAGCCCCACCAUCCAUCCAUCCAUCCAUCCAUCCAUCCAUCCAUCCAUCCAUCCAUCCACCGGCUCCGCACCACGGGCAGGAGCAGCCUGGUGGGUACCAGC